GGCUAGCGUUGUUCGGAAUUACUGGGCGUAAAGCGCGCGUAGGCGGCUUUGUAAGUUAGAGGUGAAAGCCCAGGGCUCAACCCUGGAAUUGCCUUUAAGACUGCAUCGCUUGAACAUCGGAGAGGUAAGUGGAAUUCCGAGUGUAGAGGUGAAAUUCGUAGAUAUUCGGAAGAACACCAGUGGCGAAGGCGACUUACUGGACGAUUGUUGACGCUGAGGUGCGAAAGCGUGGGGAGCAAACAGG
rnacentral:rRNA from 1 species